GGGCGAGUGGCGGAACUGGUAUACGCGGUGGACUUAAAAUCCGCUGCCCAAAAGGCUUAUGGGUUCGAGUCCCAUCUCGCCCACCA
rnacentral:tRNA from 1 species